UACGAAGGGGGCUAGCGUUGUUCGGAAUUACUGGGCGUAAAGGGCGCGUAGGCGGUGUGUCAAGUCAGGCGUGAAAGCCCCGGGCUCAACCUGGGAAUGGCGAUGGAUACUGGCUCGCUAGAGUGCGGUAGAGGAGAGUGGAAUUCCCGGUGUAGCAGUGAAAUGCGUAGAGAUCGGGAGGAACAUCAGUUGCGAAGGCGGCUCUCUGGACCAGCACUGACACUGAGGCACGAAAGCGUGGGGAGCAAACAGG
rnacentral:rRNA from 1 species